AUGCAGUUGCAAGCUUCACAUGCAUACGUAAAACACGUACCCGGUCAGGAUUGCAAACAAGCAUAUGCAGACACCUCUCCCUCACACUGCCAUCCCCCACAGCCAGGAAACCCAUAUCGGAGGCGGGCCAGAGUCUCUGUGAGACUUGGCUGGGUCCGGGCCCUGGCUCAGAUGUCAGGUCCCUGCAUUAUUGAGCUCAGGAGCCUUUGUCUCCUCCUCAUUCCUGGUCCUCCCUUCUCCACGCUCCAGCAGCAGAGGAGAGGAGGGAGGGGACAUCUGCCCUGGCUCCCCAACCCCAUGGAACAGGCAGCCGCCCCUGGCGGCCGAGGGCUCCCUUGUAGCCAAAAGCAGGCCUUAGCUCUGUACCAGCACCUCUUUAGAUGCCCUGCGGGCCUGGGCCCACUCCAGGCUGCGCUGCAGCAGGUGCAAGAGAGUCGGGCCUGUCCCUCGGGACUGGAGCUGCCCGCUGUGUUGCUGGAGAUGGAGCGGAGCCGGCGGGCCCAGGAACAGCUCCUGUGGGACUUGGAGCUGCUGACUGGGGCGGGGCUGGGCCUCUUCUGGCCCCCCCGGGCCCAGUUCUGCGGUCUGAGGGACCGGGCCCAGUGUGCAUGGAGCCAGCGCAGCAAGCCCCGCGGUAGGAUGGGUAGGGGCCCCGAGCAGCCGAACAGCUGGAGUUCCAGCCCAUGCCCAUUGCCUCAGGCUGGGGACUCCCUGAGCCAGAACCAUCAGCUUCCUGAGGGGGGGCUGGCGGUAGUCCCAUCAUCAGCCCUGGAUCUGGGUGAAGCUGCGAGUCACAGAGACCCAAGGCGGGCGAGCCCUGCUCUGCCUGCAGAGUCCACACCUGGCUGCCUACAAGAGCUGAACCCCACCACCAGCUUUGGGGACCCAGGAAGUUCUGAGUUCAAGGUGAAAGAGUCAAAGUGCCCUGGGCAAGGGCCCUCUCGAUUGGGAAGAGCAGGGGUGGGGUCUGCCUGGGAGGAGCCUACUGGGGGGAGGUGGUCCUACCUCCUAUAGCCAGGGGGAAGAAGGGACCGCCACU
rnacentral:lncRNA from 1 species